AAAUUUUAAAUGGCCGCAGUAUUUUGACUGUGCAAAGGUAGCAUAAUCAUUAGUUUCUUAAUUAGAAGCUUGUAUGAAAGGUUGAAUGAGAAAGUUACUGUCUCUAUUUAAAUUUAUUAGAAUUUUAUAUUUAAGUAAAAAAGCUUAAAUACAUAUAGAAGACGAGAAGACCCUAUAGAGUUUUAUAUUAUUAUUAUUUAUAUCUUUUAGUAUUAUAAUUAUAUAAUUAGUUAUAUAUUUGAUUGGGGUGAUUAAAAAAUUUAUUGAACUUUUUUUGUAUUAUUUCAUUAAUUUAUGAAUUAUUGAUCCUUAAUUUAAGAUUAAAAGAAUAAAUUACCUUAGGGAUAACAGCGUAAUUUUUUUUAAGAGUUCUAAUCAAAAAAAAAGUUUGC
rnacentral:rRNA from 1 species